UGCAAUCCAACGAUCGCCAACAUCCGUGAGCCACGGGCGGCAGCGCUGCGUCCGGUUCUCUUGGUCGCACGUCGCCUCCCUACGAGUGCUCCGGCGACGGCUCGAUGGUGCUGCAACGACUCUGUUAUGUUUCCAAUCAUAAAUUUAAAAAAUAUAUAUAUAAAUUCGUUAAAACUGUGAUUCCGGCGAGACAACGCCGCUCUAGCCGAGGAGAGAGUGUCCGUGCUGGUCUGACCACCGUCGAACCAUUUCUUGGUGCAGUUGGCACAUUCGGCGAAGCUGGGAGGCUGAGCCUUCUCUGGCGACGGCUCUAGGGUUCUCUGUCGAGAACGUUUUUUGGUUUGGGAAGAAGAUGAUCCAAAAGUUCUGUUUGGUCCCUGACUGUUUUCCAGUAAUUCAGUUAGGUCCAAAUAUGUUUUAAUCUGUUUCAGUUAAGUCCUAAAAUUAGUUUUAAUUGGGUAUUUUAAUUAAUUUGGAA
rnacentral:lncRNA from 1 species